GAUGAACGCUGGCGGCGUGCUUAACACGUGCAAGUCGAACGGAAAGGCCCAAGCUUGCUUGGGUACUCGAGUGGCGAACGGGUGAGUAACACGUGGGUGAUCUGCCCUGCACUUCGGGAUAAGCCUGGGAAACUGGGUCUAAUACCGGAUAGGACCACUUCUUGGAUGUUGUGGUGGAAAGUUUUUUCGGUGUGGGAUGAGCUCGCGGCCUAUCAGCUUGUUGGUGGGGUAAUGGCCUACCAAGGCGUCGACGGGUAGCCGGCCUGAGAGGGUGUACGGCCACAUUGGGACUGAGAUACGGCCCAGACUCCUACGGGAGGCAGCAGUGGGGAAUAUUGCACAAUGGGCGCAAGCCUGAUGCAGCGACGCCGCGUGGGGGAUGACGGCCUUCGGGUUGUAAACUCCUUUCGCUAGGGACGAAGCGUUUUGUGACGGUACCUGGAGAAGAAGCACCGGCUAACUACGUG
rnacentral:rRNA from 1 species